UACGUAGGGGGCGAGCGUUGUCCGGAUUUAUUGGGCGUAAAGAGCUCGUAGGUGGUUCGCUAAGUCGGAUGUGAAAUCUCCAAGCUCAACUUGGAGCGGUCAUUCGAUACUGGCGUGACUUGAGUACGGUAGGGGACCACGGAAUUCCUGGUGUAGCGGUGAAAUGCACAGAUAUCAGGAGGAACACCGGUGGCGAAGGCGGUGGUCUGGGCCGUAACUGACGCUGAGGAGCGAAAGCCAGGGGAGCAAACGGG
rnacentral:rRNA from 1 species